UGAUUCAGAGUUCCAUUAACUCUCAGAUCUAGGUCACUUAGUACCUUUGCUAUUGUAAAAGUAAAUGAAACUGAUGUUUUGAUCAAAUCUGGACUUCUACCCUUUAAAGCAUACAAGAUAAACAAAAGUCCUUAAUCUCAAGGCAUAGAAAAGAACUUAAUGUGGACUUAACCCAUCCACGACAAUCAUUUGAUAAUGAGAAGUCAGAAUAACUUAG
rnacentral:lncRNA from 1 species